UACGAAGGGGGCUAGCGUUGCUCGGAAUGACUGGGCGUAAAGGGCGCGUAGGCGGUUUGUACAGUCAGAUGUGAAAUUCCUGGGCUUAACCUGGGGGCUGCAUUUGAUACGUGCAGACUUGAGUGAGGAAGAGGGUUGUGGAAUUCCCAGUGUAGAGGUGAAAUUCGUAGAUAUUGGGAAGAACACCGGUGGCGAAGGCGGCUCACUGGCUCGUAACUGACGCUCAUGCACGACAGCGUGGGGAUCAAACAGG
rnacentral:rRNA from 1 species